UGGAGCCUAUGGCUUAAUUUGACUCAACACGGGGAAACUUGCCAGGUCCAGACAUAGCAAGGAUUGACAGACUGAGAGCUCUUUCUUGAUUAGGGUUUAGGGUUAAGGCGUCUAAGCCCAUCACAUGUGAAGCCAUGCUUGCAUUCACACUGUCAUUCUAAACUAGAUCAUCGAUGUGGCGCGUUGCUGCGCCCGUACAUUUUUAAAUUAAAAUGGUUGGUAUUUAUAAAAAUAAAUAGGGAUGCAAAACAUCUUUUAAGAAAAUGUUAUCCCCCCGUAGAAUGAGGAA
rnacentral:ncRNA from 3 species